rnacentral:rRNA from 1 species
CUCAGGAUGAACGCUAGCGGCAGGCUUAACACGAUGCAAGUCGAGGGGCAUCGGGAGUAGCAAUACUUGCCGGCGACCGGCGCAAGGGUGCGUAACGCGUGAGCAACAUGCCCGUAUCAGGGGGAUAAUCCAUGGAAACGUGGUCUAAUACCCCAUAGUAAUUAUGUAAGGCAUCUUAUAUAAUUUAAAGCUUUGGUGGAUACGGAUUGGCUCGCGUGACAUUAGCUGGAUGGUAAGGUAACGGCUUACCAUGGCUACGAUGUCUAGGGGUUCUGAGAGGAAGGUCCCCCACACUGGAACUGAGACACGGUCCAGACUCCUACGGGAGGCAGCAGUGAGGAAUAUUGGACAAUGGAUGGAAAUCUGAUCCAGCCAUGCCGCGUGCAGGAAGAACCGGCCCUAUGGGUUGUAAACUGCUUUUGUAUGGGAGCAAUAAGGGCUACGUGUAGUCCGAUGAGAGUACCAUACGAAUAAGCACCGGCUAACUCCGUGCCAGCAGCAGC